CUACGGGUCGCAGCAGGCGAGAAAACUUUGCAAUGUGCGAAAGCACGACAAGGUUAAUCCGAGUGGUUUGUGCUAAACGAACCUUUUGACAGUCCUAGAAACACUGUUGAAUAAGGGGUGGGCAAGUUCUGGUGUCAGCCGCCGCGGUGAAAACCAGCACCUCAAGUGGUCAGGAUGAUUAUUGGGCCUAAAGCAUCCGUAGCCGGCUCUGUAAGUUUUCGGUUAAAUCUGUACGCUCAACGUACAGGCUGCCGGGAAUACUGCAGAGCUAGGGAGUGGGAGAGGUAGACGGUACUCGGUAGGAAGGGGUAAAAUCCUUUGAUCUAUUGAUGACCACCUGUGGCGAAGGCGGUCUACCAGAACACGUCCGACGGUGAGGGAUGAAAGCUGGGGGGGCAAACCGGAUUAGAUACCCGGGUAGUC
rnacentral:rRNA from 1 species